rnacentral:lncRNA from 9 species
UACAGAGCCUCUCCAGCAGGACUGGGGACACAGAGAAUAGGGUAGGGGUAUUUCUCAGUAUUUCUCACUGAGGGUCUAUGCCGACAGUAACCUGAUCCUGGGGCCCCUAGCAGGAUUGGAGAGCAAGUUAUGCCCUGACUUAGGUUGAGACUGAGUCUAGCCAGGGCACUGAGAAAGAGCUGAAGAGGUCUGAGAGUUGGUUCACAACUGUGAGGCUGGGCAUCAGGCCAGGCCUGAAGCAGUCUUUCAGCAUCCAAGGAAACAAACGGAUUUCCCCCCAGGAUCUGGAGGAGGAUUGAUGCAUCGCCCAGUCAUGGCCCCACAGCCACUUCUGGGUCCCUCCUGCUCUUAGUAUCUCAAUUGAGCCACUCUUUCUCAGCGAGGAAAACACCUGACUAUAACCACAGUCAGAGGGGACUCAGACGGGGACACACUCAGAUCCAUCUCUCCAAGGUGAGACGUACAGCCAUCUCUGGUUUGAUGGGUUGUCAUGACUCAAGGAUGCUUCUAUGGGGACAGGCACCUCCCAGAGCCAAAAAAUAAAAGACAAACCCAAAGAUAACAUUCAUCUCCUUCACUCUUGGGGGAGGAGGGUUCCGUUAUCUCCCCCUCCUUGAUUUGAUCCACAGAAACAAAAGAUGGGACUUGACCCAUGGAAAUAAAAGGUGAGGCCCACAGAUCCCCACAUUCAAGCGCUCUCUCCCUC